GAGUACAGGGGCACAAUCACUUCCCUAGACCUGCUGGCCACGCUGCUUCUUAUACAAGCCAGGAUGCUGUUGGCCUUCUUGACCACCUGAGCACACUGCUGGCUCAAUGAGCCAGCCUAUAUUCAUAUAUAUUCAGAGGGUAUUAGGCUUUAAGACGGCCAAAGUGCCACUAGGUAAGUAUUAAACACCUAAAUUGCCCCCCAGUGUUUAGACAAUCCAUUUAUUUAUUUUACUAAUGAAGUCUGCAGCCUCAUGCUGAGCUUCACCUCCCUCUGUCCUGGCCCUGACAGCAAGGAGGAGACCCAGGGGAGGUGGCAUGAGAUGGGACAGAGCAGUGAAGAGCCACAAGGUGAUCACAAACCUGGUCAAGAGGCUGUCCCCACAAACAGGAGUGACAGAGAGCUCUCUGCGUCAGCCAUUUUCCUCAUGGGCAUGAGUUAUUGGGGUUUGUCCUUCCCACUACAUUUGACCAAGGCAAAAGAGCGACAGACCUUUUCCUCUGGGCAGUCGAGGACUGAGCCUUCCAUCAGCUCCUGGCACCCACCCUGGUGAUGUGGUGGCUGUGUCACAGCGGCAGAAUGUUGGCUGUGGCCCAUGUCACAGAUGACACAGCCACCCAGGAUGGAGGCGAGGAGCAGGCGAGCAAGGGCUGAGAGCUGGAGGCUCACGCAGGGACACAACCAGACCAUGGCGCACUCCUGUCCUCAGCCACUCAGCUGAAGGGAUUUGCUGCUUUCUACAAGGACACCGACAUCAAGAUAAAGCAUCAAAAUGUUAUCUCUGGGCACCAACCCCAGUGAUGCAGUGCCCAUGUCACAGCAGCAGGCUGGUGGUGGCCAAUGUGCUACCUGUGCUUGUUGGCAUUACCCGGCUUUGUGCAGCCGCAGGCCCAGGCCGGGACACAGCUGGGCCAUGGCAUGCUCCUGGCCCCCCUUCCUCAGCCCUCUCAGUCAGAGGUUUCUGCAGCUUUCUGUGGUGUCCUGGACCUAAGGGCGAGGAACACACACAGCCCCAGACUGCACCGCACCAUGGGCUCACAGGGAAGGGCAUGCCGACUUGUGAGAUGAUACAUGCUCCAGUUCAUAGUAAGUUUGAGAUAACAAGAACUCUGGACCUAAGUAGUUUGGAAUCAAGAUUUAUGUCACUAGGAUGACUGCAAAAAGCGGCCAGAAGCAUCAGGGAGACCUUGCCAUAUUAAGCAAAGAGUAUCCCAAAGCAAACGGUUCCUAUGACCAGCACACCCCUUUGCAGCUAGCCAGCUCCUUUGGACUCUGACAUCAGUGAAAGAUACUUGCCUCAUUUCUUUUUAUUAAACAUCAUUAAAAUAACCUACUCUUACUUUAUUACUAUUUAAUUUUAAUGAUUUAUUAUUUACUACUUCCUCAACUCUGUAUAUGAUUGCUCAAAAUAAAAGGUAGAAAUCAUUGCCA
rnacentral:lncRNA from 1 species